rnacentral:rRNA from 1 species
GAUGAACGCUGGCGGCGUGCCUAAUACAUGCAAGUCGAGCGAACGGACGAGAAGCUUGCUUCUCUGAUGUUAGCGGCGGACGGGUGAGUAACACGUGGAUAACCUACCUAUAAGACUGGGAUAACUUCGGGAAACCGGAGCUAAUACCGGAUAAUAUUUUGAACCGCAUGGUUCAAAAGUGAAAGACGGUCUUGCUGUCACUUAUAGAUGGAUCCGCGCUGCAUUAGCUAGUUGGUAAGGUACGGCUUACCAAGGCAACGAUGCAUAGCCGACCUGAGAGGGUGAUCGGCCACACUGGAACUGAGACGCGGUCCAGACUCCUACGGGAGGCAGCAGUAGGGAAUCUUCCGCAAUGGGCGAAAGCCUGACGGAGCAACGCCGCGUGAGUGAUGAAGGUCUUCGGAUCGUAAAACUCUGUUAUUAGGGAAGAACAUAUGUGUAAGUAACUGUGCACAUCUUGACGGUACCUAAUCAGAAAGCCACGGCUAACUACGUG